rnacentral:rRNA from 1 species
AAACUCAAAGGAAUUGACGGGGGCCCGCACAAGCAGCGGAGCAUGUGGUUUAAUUCGAAGCAACGCGAAGAACCUUACCAGAUCUUGACAUCCAAUUGACCAUCUUUUAAUCGAGAUUUUGCCUUCGGGUACAAUUGAGACAGGUGGUGCAUGGUUGUCGUCAGCUCGUGUCGUGAGAUGUUGGGUUAAGUCCCGCAACGAGCGCAACCCUUGUGUUUAGUUGCAAACAGGUCAAGCUGUGCACUCUAGACAGACUGCCGUGGACAACACGGAGGAAGGUGGGGAUGACGUCAAAUCAUCAUGCCCCUUAUGAUCUGGGCUACACACGUGCUACAAUGGCCGGUACAACGGGCAGCGAGUUCGCGAGGACGAGCGGAUCCCUCAAAGCCGGUCGCAGUUCGGAUUGAAGUCUGCAACUCGACUUCAUGAAGCUGGAAUCGCUAGUAAUCGCGGAUCAGAACGCCGCGGUGAAUACGUUCUCGGGGUUU